AUCUUUUUAGUAUAAAAAGUAUAUUUGGCUUCCAACUAAAAGGUCUAGGCAUAAAACCAAGAAAAGAUA
rnacentral:tRNA from 1 species